UAGGGAAUCUUCGGCAAUGGGGGCAACCCUGACCGAGCAACGCCGCGUGAGUGAAGAAGGUUUUCGGAUCGUAAAGCUCUGUUGUAAGUCAAGAACGGGUGUGAGAGUGGAAAGUUCACACUGUGACGGUAGCUUACCAGAAAGGGACGGCUAACUACGUGCCAGCAGCCGCGGUAAUACGUAGGUCCCGAGCGUUGUCCGGAUUUAUUGGGCGUAAAGCGAGCGCAGGCGGUUUGAUAAGUCUGAAGUUAAAGGCUGUGGCUCAACCAUAGUUCGCUUUGGAAACUGUCAAACUUGAGUGCAGAAGGGGAGAGUGGAAUUCCAUGUGUAGCGGUGAAAUGCGUAGAUAUAUGGAGGAACACCGGUGGCGAAAGCGGCUCUCUGGUCUGUAACUGACGCUGAGGCUCGAAAGCGUGGGGAGCGAACAGGAUUAGAUACCCUGGUAGUCCACGCCGUAAAACGAUGAGUGCUAGGUGUUGGAUCCUUUCCGGGAUUCAGUGCCGCAGCUAACGCAUUAAGCACUCCGCCUGGGGAGUACGACCGCAAGGUUGAAAC
rnacentral:rRNA from 1 species